UACGUAGGGGGCUAGCGUUGUCCGGAAUCAUUGGGCGUAAAGCGCGUGUAGGCGGUCCGGUAAGUCCGCUGUGAAAGUCGGGGGCUCAACCCCGGGCCUGCAGCCGAUACUGGCAGGCUAGAAUUCGGUAGGGGAGACUGGAAUUCCUGGUGUAGCGGUGAAAUGCGCAGAUAUCGGGAGGAACACCAGUGGCGAAGGCGGCUACCUGGCACAUAACUGACGCUGAUACGCGAAAGCGUGGGGAGCGAACCGG
rnacentral:rRNA from 1 species